ACAAACAGCGCAGUUCCUGUCUUCUUCCUCGCUCUGCUCGCCCCGUUCGCACGCUGCAUCCCCGCUCGCACGCCCGCAGAUCUCCGGCGCUGCUCCUCUUCCGCCGUCUAGCGCCGCCAUAUGGCUCGCCUUCGCUGGUCCCCUCGGCCGUCUAGCUCCCCCGCGCCGCUCCCUUCCGCCGUCUAGUUACCCCGCGCUACGAAGCUUGGAUUUUUCUGCCCAAGGUUCGAUUUUGCUGUCCAAUACACCGCCACACUCUUGCUUUCCCACGCCACCUUGAUGGAUCUGGGAGCAGCGCUGCUCGAUGUGCUCCCUGACGGCGAGGAGAAGCCCCAGGUCGCAAUCCUCGUUCUUCACCGUCGCCACCGAUGCACGGGAGCGACCUCAACUUCACUAGCAGCAGCGGCCAUCGGCCCCCUUCCCCGCUUGAGGUACUGCUCCUUCUUCAGGGGAGUGGAGGAGAGUGCCGGCGAGGAGGCCUGCUAAGUUGCGACACCCGCAUCCGCACCUCGAUCCCGACCAUGAAGUUCCUCCUCAAGAAGGGCGCAAUCCUGGCCAGCCAUCUGUAUUUUAGUGGAUGGAUGCCACCCAUACUCAGAGGAUCUCUGGAAACCUUAAAGAGAGAGGAAUAUUUGGUACUGAACCAACUGAAACUAUGCUGACAUUCCGGUCUGGUGAAGUGAUCAUGUGGUGAACUCACGGUUUUCUUAUGUUCUCAUGUGGACAGUUAAGUAAAACAAAACAUAUCUUGCUGCGUGUGAGCUGCAAACUCUACAACGAUGGAUCAGUAUGAGGUUUUGUAGCAGAUUGGGAAAGGAGCAUUUGGCUCCGCUCUGUUGGUGAGGCACAAGGUGGAGAAGAAGUGAAGCUCACUAGCACAUUCUGAUGGUAUGGAGCUCUGUUUCUCCUGCAGGUAUGUGCUGAAGAAGAUGCGGCUUACGCGACAAACCGACCGCACUCGCCGGUCUGCACACCAGGAGGUAACAGUUCAGCGACGAGGACGGCGAGCUUGUUCAUGGGAGGACGACGUUCUUGUCCAGGGAGCAUAGGAGCAGCAGUGCAGCGGAGGAGCAGCGGCGCAACGCAGGACCAGCAACGCAGCGCCGCAGGGAGAUCGUGGCCACAACAAGCGCCACAGGGAGAUCGUGAGCAGCAGCAGAACCUCUCGGCGAGACAGAGCUCUGCCUGGAGCGGAUGAGGAUGAAGAGGAGGCGGAGCUCCUCCUAUGCGCCCCACCGGCGGAGCUCCUGGUGGAGCGGAGGAGAGGAGGAGGAAGCGGAGGCGGAGCUCCUCCUGUGCGCCCCACCGGCGGAGCUCCUGGUCGAGUGGAGGAGAGGAGGAGGAAGUGGAGCUCCUAGUCGAGCGGAGGGAGCUGCGGACGGCGAGAGGUGACGACGGAGGGCGGAGGACGGCCGGGGACGGCCAGGGAUGGCCUCGUCGUCUUCGGAACAGACGCGAUUUUGAUUUGAAGGUGGAAGGACUUGAUUGGAGAAGAAUUGUUAUUUUAAGGGGGCGUUUUGUAAAAUUACAUUUAUACAGCGGGUCCGACACUUUCCA